CAGCGUGUCUUACGUUUCCUCCUCCCCAAGCUCUUGUUCUUACCACCUUUUUCUAAGAUCCCACUCUCUUCUUCUCCUGUCACCUUCUCUCUCUUGUCCUCUUGACUAAAAACCCUCGUCUCUUGUAUGACCGUUGAGGUUGAAAAAUCUUGCCUCUCUGAUUUUUGAGGAACAUUUUCAAAAUGUUCCAACAGACUGACUUGCUUUUUGUGAUCAUCCUCUGCUCUGUCUGGCGACAACUCCUCAGCUUCUUGAACAGGAGUUGUAUUUGUUCUAACCAUGUAUAUCACUUUCAAAAGAGACACAAAAAUCUUCAGUUAUGCAUUUGCGUUUACGCACACAAAGAUCUCAUCUUUUCACAUUACCUCGGGAAACCACUUCUCGUUCUCCGCAUCAGCCAUGGUAACACUAAGCCAAUUCGUGUUCCUUUUCUCAACCUCCAAGACGAAGUUGAGCAGAGAGUUGCAGAGUCUGCACUUCGGCGAGUAAAACUCGAGCACAGUUGCAUCCUUUUGGCUAGCCAACGCAGCCGCGAAGGCUCUCUGCUCUGCUUCUCCUUGCUCGGAAGCGCUUAAAGGCUUCUUCUUUGGGGGUUUUAGAUCGAGCCCGAGCGAGUUGAAGGAGGUGAGAGCGAUGGAACCGACGCUUUGCAUAGAUCUGAAUAGCCAGGGGGAUUGAAAGUCGCAGACGCUUGGAGAUUUGGGUUGUUUGUUUGGAGAGUCCCAUGGCCAUUUCAAGCAGAAGAGAGGGUUUGGAGGAGGAGAAGCGGUCGUAAUCUUCGAUUCCAUCAAAGUGCCGUUGCGGCGGAGAAGAAGUUUGACUCGCCGGGAACUUGUGUUAGAAGAAUGUAAUUCUGCGACGGUCGAAGAAAUUAUUAAUUAGGGACUUUUAUUAUUUCGGUUUGCUAAAAUUUUGGUUUUUUAACCAAACCAAACCGUAACUCAAAGAAUCGGUUUAUCUCUCAUUUUCUGUUCUUUUACUAGCCUGCGCAUUUCGGAUAUCUGUUUGGUUCGCGUAUUUUGUGUAGUUCGGAUAAUAAGCUGGAGGAUCUACUUACUAUUUGACAUAUUUUUGGUUUGGUUCGGUGUGGAUAGUUUCGGAUUCGGUUCGGUUCGGAUAGUAAAACUAGGAAUCAAAAAAUAUCCUAAAAAAGUUCGGUUAUCAUUUGGUUUCGGUUCGGAUAGUUCGGGUAAUUCGGAUAAAAUAUCGGUUUGAGAGAUACAAUAUCAAAUAAUUAUGAUGAUUUAAAUAAAAAGUUUGAAUAUUUCAUAUUACUUUGGAUAUUUCGAAUCAAACUAUCCGGAUAGUUUGUGAUAUUUUCGGAUAGUUCGGAUACUUUAUAAUAAUUUAGUUAUUUUUCAUGUUUUUGGAUACUUUUAAUAUUAUAAUAGAUUUUUAGUAGAAUAAUAUGUUAAGAAUUAAAAGAAAAAAAAUGUGUAUAUAAUCUUUUCCUCCUGAGAAACAAGUUUACAAAAAAGAAUCCAUAAACUUUUGCAUGGAUCAUGCAUCUAAGAUUAGAUUUUCAAGUAAACACAAUCCAAAUCCUUAUCAACUCGUAUGUUGCCGCACACUCUUCGCAGAACAAUAGGAACUCGAGCUUCCUUCAGAGCCAGGACCUGAAAGCUAAGCAGCGUGUCUUACGUUUCCUCCUCCCCAAGCUCUUGUUCUUACCACCUUUUUCUAAGAUCCCACUCUCUUCUUCUCCUGUCACCUUCUCUCUCUUGUCCUCUUGACUAAAAACCCUCGUCUCUUGUAUGACCGUUGAGGUUGAAAAAUCUUGCCUCUCUGAUUUUUGAGGAACAUUUUCAAAAUGUUCCAACAGACUGACUUGCUUUUUGUGAUCAUCCUCUGCUCUGUCUGGCGACAACUCCUCAGCUUCUUGAACAGGAGUUGUAUUUGUUCUAACCAUGUAUA
rnacentral:lncRNA from 1 species